GAAUGUAUAGCGUGACUGAGCAGGCUCAGGGAUCUCUUGGGAAAAACAAAGGUGAGCUGAAGUGCUCUGUGCAGAUUUUCACUCUGCCAAUCCUCCAAAUCCUCCUGUUUCCCUUUUCUUCCCUCCCCCAUCCCAGGUUAGAUAUCAGCCUGUGACCUACUGACCUACCUACCACAGGAGGAUCCUGGAGGCCUGAGAGUCUGGGUGUAUGGGGAAGACAGCAGCCUCUUUCCCCUGGCUCUUUUCCAUCCCAACUGCACAGGCAUUCUGCUCAACCUGAACCUGCUUGAUAACCGCCUUUCUCUAGCUGCUCAGUGGUCUGAAAUGAAGACAGAGCCACUUGAUUCUUAAGGUCAUGGGAUCUCUGAUGCUGGUCCUUUCAGCAAAAGCAUGUAUGAGCAUGCUUGAAGGUUACAGAGACAAGCAAAUGGGACCCAAGGAAAACAUUUCCUUGGAAAAAGUAAAUUUAGCACUUGGCUCAAGUGCUACAAAAGGAAUCUACAGGCAGAAUGAUGUUAUUAGAAGACCUCCAGUUUAUAUUGCUCUUUCAUCAGUAAGAGCUUAAGGUGCUCUCUGACAAACUGGUUCUAUGACAUUCUACUAUGACAAGGUCACGUGGGCACCUGCAGCACACCCGCUUUCCAAAUAAAAUAAAAAGUCUUAGGCCACUUCAGGGCUUUACGAAAUCACAGAGACAGCACCACUCCCAGCCUUUGUGAGGUGAUCUCCUGAGCAGAGAAAAAACGCAGCCCACGGUAUUCAUCAUGCACACCUUCCCUGAUCACCGAGAGUUCCAGCCAAAGGUACAAAAGAGCGGCUGCUGUCAUCAAUCAUUCCUGCAUGAAGGACAAGGAGUCCUAAUGGUAGCUGAAAGGCAAUUAGUUGUGGGAAUACACGAGGGAACAACAACAACAACAACAAAUGGGGAUGUUUAGCUCUGUAAAAAACAGAAACUGUAACAGACCUCUCCCCAGGACCUCCACAGACCCCAGGACAGCAGUUGAUCCUCACACCCACAGCUCCAAGGUUCAUGUCUUCAGUCGGUUCCCACCUUACAGGCCUGUUUUGAAGGCUGUGGAGUCUGCAGAAGAUGGAACCUGGAUGGAAGAAGGAUGGGGGCUGCUGGCCCUCUUUUCUAACUUCUGAGGUCUCUUCUUCUGUCCAAGCUACACAAAGGCUCUGAACCACACAUUUCUACUGCCACUACCCGACUCACUCGGUAUUCCUUCCUUGCUAAAAUGGACUGUAUUCAUCCCAAACUGUGAGCUAAAUUAACCCUUUCCUUCCUUGCUAGCUUCUGUCAGAUAUUUGGUCACAGCAAUACAAAAAUAAUGAAUUCAGGGACCAGUGUGGCUUCUAACACAGGUUUUAAAGUAAUCCAGCAUACUAGCUUAGAGCCUAGCUUUUAAGAUAAAUUAUUUGUACAUCAAUACUAAAAACAAAAUGAAAAACCUCCUUCAGCUAAUUCAGCAGAGGAUUUAUAGAACCUGUGCUAACCACCACAACUGAAGACAGAACUAGUCCUGGAUGUCACAAGGCAAAUGGUCACAAAGAUCAGGGGAUCUCCUUGGAGUCUGCCUGGGAAAUUCUAGAGUGGAGUGUGCAGUCCAGCAAGUCUACCAGAGUUCUUAUUUUCCCACAUUUGCCUUCAGGGAAGUUGGAGAGCUGCUUCAGACCUCUGCUGACGUCUCUUCCUCCGCACGCCAACCGACACACCUCACUUCUUCCUUCUGGCUCUCCUGUUUUCUAAAAAGACAGCGUUAAGGCCAAGAAUCAUCUGGCCUUACAGUUCAAGCCCAACACAGAUACAAGCGACACAAUUUACCAGGCCUCACAAAUUACAGUUUUUAACCCCUUUCAUCCCUGCAUUGGCACGCAGUUUGCUAACUUUAAUAGUCCCUCACAAAGCAGCGAGUGUCAUUAUUACCUGUAUUAAGGUUUAAGAAACCGAGUCACCCACAGGCCACAGACUGAGUCAGAGUGAGAGGGAGUCUGAGCUCCUGACUACCAAAUGCCUUGCCCUCAUACGACUGCAGGAGCAUUUCUUAUUUGAAGCUGGCGAUUCCAGUGCUUUCUCUAUCGUCUUGUCUUUAUUCUAUAGCUAGCAAGGCUGUUGUAACCAAACAGAGGAAGAAGAUGGAAAAGGAGUGGUUUGAAUAUCCUCACAUAUUGGAAAACAUCUGAGACGCUAAGAUACCAAGAAUUCCAGCCCUGGGCACUCAGCAAGGACUGGAGCUUGGGCAGGAAUUCCUCUCUGGUGAUUUUCUACAGUAAAAAAAAACUUGCACAAGGGCCAGAGCUGGAUCUCAAUGGUAGAAUGUUUGCCUAACAUCCACGAAGUCCUAGUUCAAGUCCAAGAACUACCCAGCUUCAAAACUGUACAACUUUACACAAAAGCAAAAGCAUCUUAACGCAGGAUGAGGAGGGAGAGAUGGGUUUGAAGGAAAUGAUGCCUUAACUGAUAUUAAUUAGGGAUUCACACAUCCAAGUGGACAUGAACAUCUGAAGCAAGCUUCCAGGCAAAGGGAACGGCAUGAUCAAAAUUGAACCGGCAAGGAAGGACACAUCAUAUGCAGAGAAAGACAAAUUGUUUGGUACCAUUCAAGCAUGAAUCAGGGAGUGGUAGACAAAGGAGUGUUGGACAGAGGCAGGCAAUGUAGAGAAGAUCUCCCGUGCAUAUCCACAUCCAGUGCUCACUCCACUCAGCUAAAAGCUGCCCACACUAUUGGAUUCUAUAUGGAUACAUCUCCCCCCCCCCAACCCCCGUCCCCCUUCUGUUCUAGUCUGGAGCUUCAGUUGCCAUUAACCAAAUCACCUCAGUGUUCCCUCCUUGUUGAAAUGAACUGUAAGCAUACCAAACUGUGAGCCAAAUUAACCCUUGCUCUCCUUCCUUGCUUCUGUCAGAUAUUUGUCACAGUACCAUUCAUGUUCUGUUGUAACUUUGAGGACCAAUGACCUAACGUCCUUCCUGGUUUCAAGUCUUCAUGGAGGCUCUGUGUCAAGGGGCAGUGGUGAGGUGGGAGUGUGUAUCUUACUUAUUUGUCAACUACUGUUAUGGUUUGGAUCUUAAAUGUCAUUCAAAGGCCACAUUACAGGCCGGGUCCCAGUCUAUAGUGCUAUCUAGAGGCAAAGGCACUUUUAGGAGGUGGGGCCUAAUGGAAGGAAUUGGGAGGUGUUUCCUUGAGGGGAUAUGGGGACUCCAGCCUUUUACUCUCUUUGAUUCCUAGAUGUGUGAAGUGAGUGGCUUUAUGCCCUGACCACUCCCACAGGGAUGCUCCUACUUGGCACAGCCCCAAAACAACUGACCAUCUGACUGUACAUAGAAACCUCUGACCCAGAAUAAAGCUUUCUUCCCUUUAUAUUCUCUUUCUCAAACAUUUUGAUACAGUGAUGAAAAACUAAAGCAAGAAAUUAAAUGAAAUUUUUAUUUCUGUUGUCACUUU